UUAGCACUUUCUAUAAGCGCCGCGUGAGAGUCAGAGCCACAUGAACUCAUCACUUCCGUAUGUCCAUUUCAUAGUCCACGUCGACAAACACUCUUGAUUAUUUAUUUUACUUUACUUUUCUUUGUUUUGCUCCGUUUGAUAUUAGCCUAUUGAACACAGGAUGGGAUUCACAAUCCGGGCCGCCACGCUCGAGGACUGUAAGGACAUCUCACGCAUGAUACUGGAACUGGCAGAGUAUGAGAAGGUUUCUGACCAGAUCAAGAUUGCACAAAGAGAUCUGGAGCAGGAUGGAUUCUCUAAAAACCCUUUUUUCCAUGGAAUCAUUGCUGAAGUGCCAGAGGACCUUAAGUCCAAAGAGGGUCAUACCAAGGUUGGUUACGCUCUGUACUUCUACACAUACAGUUCAUGGAAAGGUCGGGCGGUGUACAUGGAGGAUCUGUAUGUAAUGCCAGAGUUCAGAGGGAAAGGCAUUGGCAAGGCUCUGAUGUCCAAAGUGUCCCAGCUUGGUCUGGCUGCUGGUUGCACCCAGCUGAAUUUCACUGUACUGGACUGGAACAAAUCAUCUCUUGACUUCUACCUAAAGCAGGGCUGCUGGGAUGUGACCUCUGACCUCGGCUAUCACUGCAUGCGCUGUGAGGGCAUUGCCCUUGAACACUUGGCCCAGGGGGACCUUUAAAUUCUGAAGCACAUAGAUUUCCCUGUCAAACCCUGAACCAGAGCCACAAGUAACAAGUUGUUUGAUAAACACAGGAAGACAGUAAACUGACAGUUAAAUGGGAAAAUUUAACAAGUAACCAUGCUCAUAUCCUAUAUACAUUUUCUAAAAUAAACGCAACUUUAUGAGACUAUAUUGAUCAGCAAUAUUACUGAGAACAGCAGACAGAAAAUGCUGCUUAGUUAGGUUGCCUCAAAAAGAACAUUUGAUUCAUUCUACAUAAUUAAAUUGUGAAGUCUGACAUAUCCAAAGAUUCAGAAGUGCACUGUGAAUCACAUAUAUAUUGGGCAUAUUAUGACAUAAUCAUUUUUCUACUAGUGGAAAGAGUGGAAGUGAAAUUGUUACAGUUGGUGCUGAACCAUCAUUUGUAUCUAGAAUUUAGAACAGUUCUAUUUAAAAAGCCAUUUUAUUUUUUGUUACGUGUCAUUUUAUUUUUACAUUUGAAUAUCUGUUUGAACAUCUACUCGGUCUCGCUCACAAAUCCGUUUGAUCUGAAAUUAUGUAUGUCAAGUGAUGUUCUUAAAAUAUGUUGUAAUAUAUAAAGAACUGCUUGGUACACAAGAGACCUCCUCGAUUCUGCAAGAUGAAGAUGUGUCUGUUUACGCUGUACAUUCACAGAUGCGAGCCACAUACUUUUCUCAACUAACUUUUGGUAACUGUUACCAGUCAUAAGAGAGAAUAAGCUCACUACGAAAAAUGCACUACAGAUGUUUAUUAGAUAAAUCCUAUAUACUAUUGGUGAGUGAAACCAUGAUUGGAUUUUGCUUUUCUAAAUUGUUUACUUUGCCUUGUACAUGAUUUUUUUUGGGCAUUUUGCAUUGUGGAUUUUAGCAACCAGAUAUUUUAUGUGAAUUGCCAAAAGGUCUUUGACAAAAAAGUCUUGUGCUGUUACUGAAUACAUAAUAAUCGUGAACAACAUACAACCCAUAAUAAGUAAUUGGUAAAAAAAAAAAAAAAUGUAGUAGCACUUAAGAGAAGCUUGGUGUAGCCUCAUUGUGAAGAUGAUGGCAACGUUACAUUGUUACAAGCUGCUGUAUCCAAUGUACUGUACAGUCUGUUCUAUUGGCCAUUGAUUAAAGCACAUUUGCCCAUG